GUCUACGGCCACACCACCCUGAACGCGCCCGAUCUCAUCUGAUCUCGGAAGCUAAGCACGGUCGGGCCUGGUUAGUACUUGGAUGGGAGACA
rnacentral:rRNA from 1 species